AUUGAACGCUGGCGGCAUGCUUUACACAUGCAAGUCGAACGGCAGCGCGGGGCAACCUGGCGGCGAGUGGCGAACGGGUGAGUAAUAUAUCGGAACGUACCCAGAAGUGGGGGAUAACGUAGCGAAAGUUACGCUAAUACCGCAUACGAUCUACGGAUGAAAGGCGGGGACCGCAAGGCCUUAUGCUUUUGGAGCGGCCGAUAUCUGAUUAGCUAGUUGGUGAGGUAAAGGCUCACCAAGGCGACGAUCAGUAGCUGGUCUGAGAGGACGACCAGCCACACUGGAACUGAGACACGGUCCAGACUCCUACGGGAGGCAGCAGUGGGGAAUUUUGGACAAUGGGCGCAAGCCUGAUCCAGCAAUGCCGCGUGAGUGAAGAAGGCCUUCGGGUUGUAAAGCUCUUUUGUCAGGGAAGAAACGGUAGAGGCUAAUAUCCUGUGCUAAUGACGGUACCUGAAGAAUAAGCACCGGCUAACUACGUG
rnacentral:rRNA from 1 species